UUUAAUAAAGUUAAGCAGACUCUUAACUUUUCCUCAGAAGUUAGCAUGAUUUAGUGAUUUAACACAUUUUUUAACAUUCUAUUCUUUAAAACGUAGUGAAGGAUAAUAAAUAUUUACAUUUAAUUGGGAAGGCUAUUUUGGUAGGCAAAAUAGACUUCCUUUGCCAAACAAUAAUGAUUGUACUAACCUCAUUUUCCAUUCCUAUUUAGGUCAUGUAUGGAAUGUUGGUCUUUACAUUAGUACUUCGAUCUAUUUAUAUUGUUACAUGGGUUUAUCCAUGGCUUAGAGGACUGGGUUAUACAUCACUGGGUAUAUUUUUGUUGGGAUUUUUAUUUUGGAAUAUAGAUAACAUAUUUUGUGAGUCACUGAGGAACUUUCGAAAGAAGGUACCACCUAUCAUAGGUAUUACCACACAAUUUCAUGCAUGGUGGCAUAUUUUAACUGGCCUUGGUUCCUAUCUUCACAUCCUUUUCAGUUUGUAUACAAGAACACUUUACCUGAGAUAUAGGCCAAAAGUGAAGUUUCUCUUUGGAAUCUGGCCAGUGAUCCUGUUUGAGCCU
rnacentral:sRNA from 1 species